CCCAGUGUAGCAUAAUGGUUUGAGUGUGGGACUACAACUCUGGAGACCAGGGUUCAAAUUCCUGCGAAGCCA